rnacentral:pre_miRNA from 13 species
UGUAAACAUCCUCGACUGGAAGCUGUGAGGCAUGGACGGGCUUUCAGUCGGAUGUUUGCA